AUCUUCCUCCGAUGGCAGUGGAUGAUUCAUAUACAAUUAAUGCCGGAAGUACAUCCACUGGAACUGUUCUGGAUAAUGAUUUUGAAACGUAUAACGGGCCACAGG
rnacentral:sRNA from 1 species